rnacentral:rRNA from 1 species
AUGCACACAGCUCUAGUUUCUGGUUGGGCUGGCUCAAUGGCUUUAUACGAAUUAGCAGUUUUUGAUCCCUCUGAUCCUGUUCUGGAUCCAAUGUGGAGACAAGGUAUGUUCGUAAUUCCCUUCAUGACUCGUUUAGGAAUAACGGAUUCGUGGGGUGGUUGGAGUAUUUCAGGAGGAACUGUAACAAAUCCGGGUAUUUGGAGUUAUGAAGGUGUGGCAGGUACGCAUAUUGUGUUUUCUGGCUUGUGUUUCUUGGCAGCGAUCUGGCAUUGGGUAUAUUGGGACCUAGAAAUAUUCUCUGAUGAGCGGACGGGAAAACCCUCUUUGGAUUUGCCCAAGAUCUUUGGAAUUCAUUUAUUUCUUGCAGGGGUGGCUUGCUUUGGCUUUGGGGCAUUUCAUGUAACGGGUUUGUAUGGUCCUGGGAUAUGGGUAUCCGAUCCUUAUGGGCUAACUGGAAAAGUACAAGCUGUAAAUCCAGCGUGGGGUGCAGAAGGUUUUGAUCCUUUUGUUCCGGGGGGAAUAGCUUCUCAUCAUAUUGCUGCGGGUACAUUGGGUAUAUUAGCGGGCUUAUUCCAUCUUAGUGUCCGUCCGCCUCAACGUCUAUAUAAAGGAUUACGUAUGGGCAAUAUUGAAACUGUACUUUCCAGUAGUAUCGCUGCUGUUUUUUUUGCAGCUUUCGUAGUUGCUGGAACUAUGUGGUAUGGGUCAGCAACGACCCCAAUCGAAUUAUUUGGGCCUACUCGUUAUCAGUGGGAUCAGGGAUACUUUCAGCAAGAAAUAUAUCGAAGAGUUAGCAAUGGUUUAGCCGAAAAUCUUAGUUUAUCAGAAGCUUGGUCUAAAAUUCCCGAAAAAUUAGCCUUUUAUGAUUAUAUUGGUAAUAAUCCGGCAAAAGGGGGAUUAUUCAGAGCAGGCUCAAUGGACAAUGGGGAUGGAAUAGGUGUGGACCAAUUACUAGAGCUCGCGCACGCCAAUUAA